rnacentral:rRNA from 1 species
ACCUACGGGAGGCAGCAGUGAGGAAUAUUGGUCAAUGGCCGGGAGGCUGAACCAGCCAAGUCGCGUGAGGGAAGAAUGUCCUAUGGAUUGUAAACCUCUUUUGUCAGGGAGCAAAGUCACCCACGUGUGGGUGUUGGAGAGUACCUGAAGAAAAAGCAUCGGCUAACUCCGUGCCAGCAGCCGCGGUAAUACGGAGGAUGCGAGCGUUAUCCGGAUUUAUUGGGUUUAAAGGGUGCGUAGGCGGGCUGUUAAGUCAGCGGUAAAAGCCCGGGGCUCAACCCCGGCGAACCGUUGAAACUGGCUGG